rnacentral:lncRNA from 1 species
AUUAUUAUUUUUCUUAUAAAGAUUUUUAAGAUAAAUCAAACUACUAAAAAUAAAUAUUAAUUUUCAAGGAUAGUCUCAAAUAUAACUAACAUAUAACUAUCAAUCCAUCGAAAUUUUAAAAAAAAUAUAAAAAUUUUAAUUCAUAUUCUUUUUCUUUUCUAAAAGCAUAUGCAGGAGUAAAAGAAAAUUACCAUUUUUUUAUCAUAAUUCUUUUUAUAUAAAAAUUUAAAAGUGAAAGUAAAAAAAAAAAGAAUUAAGGUGUAUUAAAAGAAAAAAAUAAAAGAGUUAUAAAAUUGAUGAAAAGAGAAUUUUUUUUUUUUUUUUUUUUUUUGCAUAUGGGCACUAGCAAAGUUAGCCCAGUCAUGAGGUAGUGGGACACCUGAGGCCCAUCUGUUUGUGGAGAUUUUUUGUAGUUACUUUCAUUUUUGAAUUUUUUUCUGUUUAGGAAACUUUUUAACAAUUAGAUCAAAAUUUUAUACAUUUUCAAUUCUUGACUAGAAGAGCUUAUAAAUGUAAAUGUUUUCAUCAGGUCGGGAAAAAAAAUUUUUUAAUUAAAUAAUUAGUUUAAGUUGUUUAUCACCGAUACCCAAAAUCAAUAUUUCGUGAGAUAAACAAAAGCUCGCAUUAAAUGCAUUAAAUUUAUCAGAGUAUUCCAACGACAUUAGUUAAAAACCAUCACUAGCAUUGGCACUAACUAUUUUCUUAUUUCUAUGCCUACAUAUAUAUAUAUAUGCAUUGGAACACAUGCCGACAAAUUUUGCAUUAAAUUUAAUGGCCCUAAAUGAUGACGGGAUUGAAAAUAGAAACAUUAUAAUGGGUAUUUUUGUAGAAAUAUAUAUAAUCGGGUUGGAGAACCCUCCACUCAAACCCUACUUGAAAUCAAGUUAUAUUUGUUUUCUCCAAAACCCGCUCAUACUUUAUAUACACUCUCCCAAAUCUGUUCCGUUAGGGUCGGGGGUUUGUUCCCAAGCCAUACCCUUUGGGUCUGGGUUUUUUCCCAUCCCCACUCAUGACCUACCCUUCCUGCAUUCUUAGCUGAAAUAUUGCUAGUUAAACUUGUUAUCAAGCUUAACUACGAUAUGCUUUUCAAUGGAUAAGAUAACUAAAACCAAUUACAAUCAGCUUAACCCAAGUUUAAGUUUGGUAAAGUUAAAAUAAAUUAAUUUAGGGCCAUCUGCUAAAGAAAAUAAUUUUUUUUUUGGAUCUUAGCUUUAGAGACUGAACCUAAGUGUAGUUUGUUUAAUUAGUUAAAAUCAAAGUAAUUGAGGCCUAAUAAAAAAAGGUUUUUUUGUUGAAUAGUAUUAAGGCUAUACUUUGGUGGGCCCUAUUUUAUCCUGAAAUUUGGAGCCGCUUCCCCAGCCUACACUCGAUGCUGGACUUGUAUGUUGGCAACUUGGCGUGUAGUACAUGUUUGUAGGGAAUUUAUAAUGAAAUCUAGCUAAAUUUUCCCUUCCGUGUCAUCAAAUUUUUCUUGUGAAUCUUUUUGGCAACCCCUAGGGAUGUUUGGUAACGUUUUUAUUUUUCUGUUUUUUUUGUGUUUUUUUAAUUUUUGUUUUGUUUUGUUAUUUUUUGUCCAAAUAGAAACUAAAUACGUUUGCGUCACCUAUUUUAAAACCUAUUUAAAAAAUAAAAUACUAUUUGUUUUCACCUUUGAAAACAUUUUCUCAAAAGAGAUGGCGCGUAGUGAGCGUGGUAGAAGAGUGGCGAUGGUAGUUGGAGGUGCGGCGCGGUGGUGGUUGUAGGUGGAAGUGGGCGGCGUGAUGGUGGUUGGAGGUGGUGGUUGGUGGCGGUGGCGGUGGUGAGGAUGUGGGCGGUGCGGGGUGGUUGGGUGGGUGGUGGUGGCGGUGGGAGGUGGCGGCGGCGGUGGUGGAGUGAGGUGUUGGAGGUGGAGGUGGUGGCGGCGGCGGUGGUGGUGGUUGGGCGGUGGUGGCGGACGGUAGUGUUUGGCGGUGGGUUGGUGGCGGUGGUGGCGGUGGCGGCGGUAGUGGUUGGAGGUGUGGUUGAGGUGAGGUGGAGGUGGUGGGCGGUGUUGGAGGUGGGGUGGUGGUUGGAGGUGGCGUCGGCGGGGGGGGGGGUGGGGGGUGGUGGUUGUCGGCGUGAUGGGGUUGGAUGUGGCGGCUGGCGCGGCGUGGUGGAGGUGGCGGUGGUGCGGUUGAGUGUGGUGGCGGCGCGGUGGUUGUAGGUGUCCGUGGUGGCGUGAGGUGGUGGUUGGUGGUGGAGGUGGUGGUUGGGGAGGUGGUGGUGCGGGCCCCCAGCGAUUGUGGUUGGUGGUGCGACGUGAAUGGUGGUGUUGGAGGGGGUGGUGGCAGUGGAGGAAGUGGUUGAAAAAAUGUGAUAAAAAUUUUGAAUGAAAAAUUUUUGUAAACAAAACAUAACACUUUUCUUGUUUUCACUAUUUUCAAAAAUAGUGACAAUUAUUUACCUUUAUUUUUAUGUAUUUGUUUGCAACACAAACAAGUUUUUGUUUUUAUUUAAACAGAAAAAUAAAAAUUAAACAGAAAAAUAAAAAUUAAUGGGUUAACAAACAUCCACUAAGUGUCGCCAUUAUCACUUUGGAAGCUACUGAUGUUGGUUGAUUUUAAUUUUUACAGCACAAACAGUUCUACUGGCUUUCCAACACUAUUGUGAUGCUUCGUACCACAGUUAUGAUUGCAACUAUGCUCUGUUAGAUAUUUUUAAAAUGUCUUGGUGUUAUUUUUUAGGUUUUUGUAAAACUUUGUUAUUCUUUUAGAAUGCUCACUUUUUGGAUGUGAGUUUUGUCCUACAUUAGUUAGAUAUGAAAAAAUUAUCUUCUUUAUAAAUGGAAAGAUUGUUAAAGUAUUAAAUAUGUUUGGAUCACAAGGGGCUAUAAUAUGGUGCUUCGCACCAUAAACCGGCGAAGCCGAUGCUUAGCACCAUGAAUCCGCACCCGCGCCAUGUGCGCAUGUGCGUGGCAGUGGAUUGUGUGGCUGCAAUGUGGUGCUUUGAUGGCGCACGCGAAAGGUUGUGAUUGAAGGGGUGCGUGGUAGCCUAUAAAUAGUCCAACUCUUAUAACAUUUUUAAUCAUCAGAAAAUCCGAAAUUCUUAAAGAAGAAAUAAUAGUUUAUUUCAUAUCGUUUUUGAGUAUUCAUUCUAAAAUUUUGUUAUUCUAUAGAAAUAAAAUCUUAGAGGUUUCUAGUUCACUUGUUUAUAAAAAGCAGAUAUUCUGACUGUUCUGUUUAUGAAAACAAGAACAAUAAGAAUGUAGAGUUCGUGCUUCAUUGUAUCUUGAAAACAGAUUUGCUGUAACCCGUGCACACUAUCUGGUGAGGGCAAAUACUGUCUUUGGAAAAGCGACAAAGUAACUCGCCUUGAAUUGUAUCGAAGUUGAAGACACCGUCAUCCGCCAACGUAUUUUUUCCAAACCAAUCUAAAGACAGUAUUCGUGAAAUGGUGAUGUCUCUACAAAAGAUGACAAAAGAUUUCAUAAAACUUGAUUGUUUGAUGGUGGCAAUUUGAGACGUUGGAGAAGAAGAGUUGCGAUUUUCUUGUUACCACCACUCAAAAUAGUUAUGUUUGAUCACACAAGUUGUUAGUAGAAGAAAUCAAGAUGAUGAAACGCCUUAGAGCAGACUAGAGACAGAAUCAAAUGGGAGAAUGAUGACUACAUUUGCUAAUGACAUAUCCGAAUUCUAUCCGACGCAUAUUGAUACUACUAAAAUUCAGAGACGGCAAAGGACCUUGGGAUGCACUUCAUGCAAGAUCUAACUGAUGCACUAAAAGUAAAAAAAAAUUUGUUAAUUAAUUUAUAAAUUAUCGCAUAAUUAAAAAAUUCUGUUCUUGCCCACUGAAAAUGGCCAUGUACACGGCCAACCGUCAUAGCAUAACCGUUCUUGUUUCUGACACCAGUUUCUAAUAGGAAAACACUUGCUUCACAUAGGGUAUGUUAGAUCAAAUAUAUGAUAUUAAUUAAAUGUGGGUUGUAGAUUUGGAUUUCAAAUAUUAAAAGACAUGGCUCAGUGGACAUGUGCGCCAAGUCACUGAGGCGAUUCUAUUUCGAGUCGAUUUAAAAUAUUAUUAAAUAGAUAUUCAGACAUCAGUUGAAUAUAUUACCUGUUCAUUGACUGUAAUUUUGAAAUUUUUGCAUUUCUAUUAUUAUUACUAAUAUUUUAUGGGCAUAAUUGAAUUAUGUAUGAAUUCCAUGAAUAUGGAUAAAGUUCAGUUUGUAAUUUGUAAUGCCAAAAUAUCGAUAACAAACAUAGUUUGAUAUGAGUAUAAUUGUAUUGCUUAGUCCAUGUGAAUAUAACUUCAGAUUUGUCAUUUGAAAACAAAAGGAAGAAAUAAAGUAUGUAAACCUGAGAUCUUGCAUACAACUUGAGUUUAGUUGAGAAUUGUGCAUGUUUGUGUUUGGAUACUAUUUUAAAUAUGAAAUUUAUGGACACUGGAUUGCGAUAGUUCUGACAAUUUUAGUAUGUUUGAAAUAGUAGUUAAAUUUAUUUGUGCAAUGCAUAGAUCAGUUUAAAUUCUUAUAUGUUAUUUCUUGAAUAAUAUUUUCAUAUGGAUGAAAACAUAUAUCUCAAAAACUGAGAUGGCAUGAUUAUACUGCUACAUCAGAUAAUUACUAUCAUAUGGCCAACUUUAAAUUAGUAUUUGAAAAAGUAGUUAUUGAGGGUUACAAAUUUAAACCAAAAAGUGUGACCAUUGGGUGGUUCAAACUAAGAAGUUUCAAUCUUGGCUUUAUAAGAAAACGUACAACUUUUGGCGCCAAUUGUCGCAAACCAAUUUUUUAUUUUUUAUUUUAAAUAAAAUGGUUGCAACGGUUAGAAGACACUGAGCCGUUUGUCAAGCAAUGGUUGAAAUGCAUCUCAAUGACUUUGGUUUCUAUGAUUGGAUGUGAGCCCAAGUUCAUGUGUAAAAUUAUGUUUUGUACUUCUUAGAUUGGUUAUACAACUAAUGAAAUAAAAAUUAAUGCAACCAAGGUUUUGGAUUUCAUGGAAAAAGCCAAAAUACUAAUAGUUAUUAUUAUUAUUAGUACUAGUGUAUUAAUUAAUACCAUCAUGAUCUCGAGAUGCAGUAUUUAUUAAAAAUCGUUUGACAGAAUUCAAGGUUUUAAAUCACGUAAAAAAUUGACAUGAAGUCAUAACGAUUUGGAUUCCUUUACCCUUGAGGUCCAUGGAGAUGACAAUGAGCCUUUACAAGUCCAAAUAAGAAUAAUGAACCUGUGGAGCAGUUGUGUUGAACUAAGAAAGAGCAAACGAACUCGAAAAGAGGAAGACGUUUGAGCCUGAUUUUAUAAUUAUCUGGUGAAGGUACUAGACAAACUACAUGUUCAUAGUGUGUUUCACUAUAUGUGGAAACAGAUCUAUUAACUUUUGAAGGCAGCCGAUGAAGUAGCUCCAAGAUUUGCGUUAUAGAAGGCAGGCUUAUUAAAAGAUAAAAUGGAUCCAUUUUUAAAAAAUAAUACGGAUUAUGGAUUGAUUUACCUCCUAAUUCUAAACAAUGGUUGAGUAAAUGGAUUUUUCAAAAGAAAAUAAAAGUUGAUGGAACUAUUGAUAAGUUCAAGGCCAGAUUAAUUAUUUAAAAGGAUUUACCCAGAAAGAGAGUAUCGAUUAUUUCGAUUACGUAUGCUAUGGUUGCCAGAUCUCAACAAUUAGAGUUUAAUGCUCUUGCUUUAAUAUUAUAAAUUUUUAGAUUCACCAAAUAGACGUCAAGACUGUGUUCCUAAUGGUGAGUUAGACCUUAUAUUGAAAAAAGAUCUUAAAUGAAGAAAUUUAUCAAUUAAUAGUAAAUCGGUUCUAGAUCUAUAUGAUCGCAGCUCCAUGGUACAAUACUGGAAGAGUGUAUCACAAUAGAGUAUUCUAGAGUGUGAUAGGAAGUUUUGAUGUAUGCUAUGACAUGCAAAAGCCGAUAUAGCUUUUGCAGUGGGUAAAACUAGUAGAGUAUACUAGUAUCCAGGACAUAUGCGUGGCAAGUAAUAAAUAGAGUAUUAAGAAUACUUGAAAGGUACUAUAGAUUUUGGAAUAGUUUAUAGUGGGUGUCUCCAGUAUUAGAAGGAUACACGAAGGCCAGUAGUUACUAAAGCGAGAGGAUCACUUUUCAACAAGUGGUUGGUGUUUUAUACUUGUCGGGAAGAGUCUCUUGGGGAUAACAGGAAGCAGACUCCCAUUACAGAUUCGACUAUGGCAGCCGAAGCGAAUUUGUGGCCUUAGCAUCUGGAAGUAAAGAGGCAGAAUGCUGAGAAAUUAUUGUUGGAAAUUUUAAUAUGGCCUAAACUUAUGUCACCAUAUCUUUGCACUGUGGAUAGGAGUCGACCUUAUCACGUGCUUAUAGCCAAGUGUAUAAUGGUAAGUCCAAACUUAGUAUUUCGACAUAGCUAGGAGAAAUUGAAAAUUGAUGGGGGUGAUAAAACUAGUAAAUUAUUAUAAGUCAAGUCAAAACUUUGGGAUCCUUUUACAAAAAGGGUCUUGUAAGAGGCGGAUCCGUGUACAAAAGAUCUUGCAAGGGGACUCGGUGUGAAAAACAUCAAAGAGGAUGGGACUUUUGCCCACUUAAUUUGAUUACUCUUGGUUGAAAAACCAAACUCAACAGGUUGAUUAAUAUCAAUCUCUUGAGUCAAGGAGAAAAACCACAAACGUCGUAAUUGAAAGCACUUAUUAUUUUCUUUCAGGUAAAGUGAUUGAACUUAUAAUCGUAAAACAAAUGAGGAUGAACUAUUUAGUUCUUAAUUAGACCUUUUCUGAUGCUAUUGUUACAAGGGCAGUGAUAAGGAUUUAACUAUAUGAGUGUGAAGGUGGUGCCGCUUUGGUAGGUCAUGGGGGCUAGACUUUAAAGCCUCGUGAAAUCAAGAUAACUGACAAAAGGACAGUGCACGGGUCAACGAAUUUGAAUAUUUACAAUAUUAAAGAAUUGUAUGUGAAACAUCGCCGAUUAAUUACUAGAGGGACCGCUAAUUUCAAAGAUUACGUCUACUAUGCGACCCUGAUUAGUUUUGAAAAUGUUUUACUACGUGGAAUGGUUGAAGUCGGGAGACCACGCUUUCAUGUAUGCAUAAUUUUUUGUAAGAGAAUUUGGGAACACUUAUUGUGUAUUAAAAAAUGGUGUGAGGGAGUGUUAGAAAUUUUUUAAUGUCUUGGUGUUAUUUUUGAUUUUUGUAAGACUUCUUGUCUUUAGAAUACUCACUUUUGUAUGGGAGUUUGUCCCAGCAUUGGUUAGAUAUAGAAAAAGUAUCUUAGUUAUAAUGGAAAAUUAUUAAAGUAUUAAAAUAUUGAAUCACAAGGGGCCUAUACUACAGUAUCGAUCCAUUCUUUGACCCAUUGAGAAAUCUUUCUUUUUUGUUCUUCAAGUGCUAAGAGACAUUCGUGAUUGGGUUUGUUGUCAUGGACAUUCUUUACUCUAUUUAGGUCACCUUGAUAUUUAACUGUGACACACCAAAUUUCCAAAAACCUUAGAUGCCAACUCCCAAAUACUGGGAGUCGAUACCCAAAUGCUUUCUUUUUGUCCAACUCUAGAGUUAGGGCAAUCUCACAUUAUCUUUUUGAAUCUUUAUACUCUUUUUAUUAAGACAUUUUUUUUGAACUUUUGUUUUGUUCCUCUAUCUUGUACUUUAAGCCUAUAUUACAGGACUCUUUUAAAUAGUAUAAGCUAAGAAGCACUAAUACAAACACAGAUACCCAAACCAGGGUGUUUUGAGCAAAUUUCGGGCUGGUUACAAUACUAAAAUUGAGUUACUUUAAGUCUUUUUAAUAAUUAUUAAAAGAAACAAAAGAGUCAUUCUUCUGCGUUAAUUAUUAGUUUAAAAAAGGGUCAUUUUUUUAUAAAAAACAAGAAAAUAAAGUUACUGGGCGUCAAUCACUAACUAUUAAGUUCAUAACCCAGUUUGGGUUGGGUUGGGUUGGUUUAUAUAUGUAACGAAUCGAUAUUUAAUGCGAGAAUCUAGAUGUCAGUUGAGCUCGGAUUAUCUCUAAUUAGGAUGGAAUUAACAUAUAUUAAAAUUUUAUAUAUUAGAGAAAAAAUUAUAGAGUUACUGUGGGUCUUUUAAUUAGAUACCGAUUGAGCUUGAGUUGUCUUUAAUUUAUAAUGUUAUUAGAUAACAAGAAAACACUUGAGCUAUUUUAUUUUUUUUAUAACUAGCAUUCCCACGUUUAUAACCUUAUAGAAUGACUUGGGAAAAAACAAAGAAACUCCCACGUUUAUUUACGUAAACAAGUCCAUGACAUCUCAAAUCUCCUUAGAAACGUACCGCGUCAAUUUUUUAUGUUGUCCAUAGUUACGAUAAGAUUAACACAUAUUGAAAUUUUAUCUCACAUUGAUUCUUAUAAUAAAAAACUUGAGUUCCACGAAUUUCAAACGAGUUGUCGCUAGCUCACGACUAAAGUGACUUUUUGGUAGUUACAAAAAAUCCUUACAAACUGAUUUUAAUGUAAUUUUUAGGUAAUUAUAAAGAAAAACAAGAGUGAUGAGUAGGGGCGGAGCCAAAAUUUAUGUUCAGUGGGGUCAAAAUUAUGGAAUUUAUAAAAUUUAGGACAAAUUACUAAUUUUGAUGGGGUCAAAAUUGUAUUUAUAAUAAAUCAUAUUAAAAAAAUAGUAUAAUUUUUUUUUAGUGGGGUUAAUUAACUCCACUUAUCCUUAUGUGGCUCCGCAACUAGUGCCGUGGGUAGGGGUAUCCAUCAGCCCGGCCCGGCCCGGCCCAAGCCCGAAUAGUAAAAUCCCGAGCCCGCCCAGCCCCCAAGCCCGUGGGCCUUUGACUAUGAACCGGGCCGGCCGGGCCUAGGGAGGAUCUUGAAGCCCAAACUCGGUCCCUUGCUGGCUGCGGGCUUUUGCGGCUUCGGGACUUUUCCGGGCCUUUUUCGGGCUCGAGUUUUUUCUGGAUUUUUUCGGUUUCGAACUUUUUUCGGGCCCAAAUAAGCCUAAGUGACCUCUUAAAUUUGUUUCAAGUUUUACAUCUAUAUAGUUUAAAGAUUUUAAAGUAUACAUUGCGAUAACAUAUAUAUUUUAAAGUGGAUCAAUCAAAGUGUGAGAAAUUAAAAAAAUUAUAUUUGAUAUAAACUUUAAUUACAACUACUAGUAGUAGAGGAAUGCAUCACUACACAAUUUGUGCAUCCUUCCAAACUAGGUUGACACCACAAACGUGUCAAUCAUUUGUUCCUACCCAGUUUACAUGAAUAUAAAAUUUUAAAAUUACAAUAUUAAAAAAUUUGUAGAAUAUUUAUAUUCUUAAUCACUGGAUAGUGUUCGGCAUCAAUCAAUGUGGGCUUCGAUAAUUCAAGUCUUGGCAUUUGUUCUUCAAGGGUCGGCCAUGCGGGCAUGUUCUUGUUGGCUCUUAUCAGCUAGUUCCCAAUCUUUUGGCAAAUUAAUAGUUCAGUGAUUCAGGAUUUUAAACUUGCUCGAGAUGGAGAAGAAAUUAUGCGAACACUUGUACUGAAUGCGAUUUUGAUGCCUACCGUCGACAGGAAGAUGUGAGAUUGGUUAGGUGUGGGGUUAAAAAUGGAAGAGAGAAUGGGUAUGUAUAGAUUUUUAGGGUUAGGUUGGUAAGGGCUUGAGUGAAAGGAGUUAGUUACUUGGGUCAAAAAUGUAAUUUUUAUAAUUAUGAACUUCAAAUUGUAAUAAAAAAAAACGGCUAUUUUUUUGAAAAAAAGGCUAAUUUUGAAUUUCGGAUUUUGCGGGCCGGACUUCGGGCUUUUGCGGGCUUGGGCUUCGGCCUUUUUUCGGGCCGGGCUUCCGGGCUUUUUCGGGCUCGGGCUUUGGGCUUCAAACCCUAAGCCCGGGCCCAGCCCGUUGGUUUCGGACCCGAACCGGCCCGGGCCAUUUUUUGGGCUUCGGGCGGGCUUCGGACCUCGGGCCAUUUGGAGAGCCCUAGCCGUGGGCGUUAGCCAUCGACUAUCAAGUCUGGUAUCUCAAAUCUUUCUAUAAUCUCAAGAGUCGUAUUCACAUGCGCUACCACGGGCUCGCUUACGUGGCACGCCCACAUCCACCCAUUUGGAGUGGACCCCACUUAAAAAAAAUUGUCCCAUCCACUCUCAAAUGGGUGGAUUUGAGCGUGUUACGUAGGCGAGCUCGUGGUAUUACCACAGGCUCGAGCCCAUGUGAACAAGACUCUAAUCUCAAAUAGGUUAAGUAACACUUGUUGAGCUUGAGUUGUACUUAAUUAGGAUAAGAUUAACACGUAUUAAAAAUUUUGUCUCACAUUAAUUAUGAGAACAAAAAAGUUUGAGUUUCACAAAUUUCAAAUGAGCUGUUAAAGUGACUUUUUAGUAAUUUCAAAUCUCGUUGUAAUCUCAGAAAAAGGUUUUUUUGAAUGGAUUUAUUUAUAUAACACGUCAAUCUAAAUAACAUUGAGCUUUUAGUUGUACAUAAUUAGAAUAUGAUUAACAUGUAUUGAAACUUUAUCUCACAUUAAUUAUUAGAACAAAAAACUUGAGUUCCACGAACUUCGAAUGAGCUGUAAUGCGAGAAUCUAAACAACAAUUGAGCUUGCGUUGUGCAUAAUUAGGAUAUGAUUAACACGUAUUAAAACUUUAUCCCACAUAAAUUAUUAGAACAAAAAACUUGAGUUCACGAACUUUGAAUGAGCUGUCACUAACGGUUAAUGUGACUUUUUUUUAGUAAUUACAGAAGAACCUUAUAAAGUGAAUUUAUGGUAAUGUUUAGGUAAUUAUAAGGAAAAACAAGAGAAGUUCUAAGGAAGGUAUCAAUCACCAACCAUCAAGCCAAUGACCUCUCAAAUCUCUUCCUAAUAACGCUUCAAGUUUUAAUGUGAGACUUGAACACCAAUUGAGCUAGUGUCGUUUAUAAUGAGAACAGAAAUAACACGUAUGCAUAAACCCUCAUUAAUGAGAAUAAAAAAAGCCUAACAAGAAAUGGAGUUCACUAACAAAUUCGAAUGAGCAAUCGCUGUCGACUAGCGAUAUAUACUAUCAUAAUGCAAUUAUAUUCACGCAUCUUACAACAUUGGGUGAACAUUACUUACAUGAUGAUUGGUUGAAAUAAUAAGAGACAUCGUUAUAAAACCCCAUCUCACGAUUUAAGUUGAUCACAAAGUACGUAAUGUUCACUCAUGUUACCAAGUGAGUGAACACAAUUGCAUGUAUAUACCCAUUAGUUUUUCAUCAGCACCUGUAUUUUUCUCUCUACGCAAUGAAUUUGAUUUCUUUUAUCCUCAAAACCCUCACAUUUAUUUUCCAAUUGCCAUUAUCUUCAAUCUCCAACCACCACAACUUGACACCACUUUCUACCUCCUAGUUGCCUCUUGCCAUUCGUUCGCCAUCUCAAAAACGCCUCCUUGAAUUUACACAUGAGGUGGCGCAGUUGCUGGGAUGUGGGGGUGGUGUCGCCUUGCACAUGGGUUGGGUGGUGCGAAGGAGAGGGUAAAAUAGUCAUUUAACAAAAAUUAAAAUUACAAGGGUCCCUUAGGUUUGAAAAAAUUUCAUGAACCUCCCUUGUAGUUUGUAAGAUUACAAAAAAAAUUCUUGCUUUUGAAAGUAAUUUGCAAAUUCCUCUUCAAGUGAGGUAAAAUGGCCUUAAUAUACAAAAGGUAAAGUUCAGUAAGACCAUCUCCAACACUCCCCCAUUUCUCCAUUUCUUUUCUUCAUUUUUUCAUUUUUUCAUGUCCAAUAGGUUCUCCAUUUUUUCCCUAUUUCUCCAUUCCCCAUCCUGUCCCCUCCCCCCAAAAUUUUAUAACAACUCUUCAAUAGCACCGCCAUUUUUUUUUUUCCAUUUCUCCAUUCCCCAUUCCCCCCACACCCACUCCACCUACCCCAAAACAAAAAAUUGGUGUAAAAAUGGAGAAAAUUUGUUUUCAUCUCGAAUGGCACCCCCAUUUCUCCAUUCCUUCCUCCAUUUUUUCUCCCCCAAAACUUGGGAAAAAAAUGGAGAAUUGAGAGAGUAUUUUUUUUUGUGAUUAUUGGAGCUCAUGAGAUUUAAAAAAUAUCUUAAGAGAUAAACUUAAAUAUUAAUUUGUAACAUUGUCUAUUUUUCCUUUAUAUUCAUGUUUGCACUAUUUAUUUAUAUUAUAUAUAUAUAUAUAUAUAUAUAUAUAUAAUAUACUAUAUAUAUAUAAUUUUUUAUUUGCUUUAUUUUCCUUUAUAAGAGCUACUGCUAUAACAGACUCCACCGUAUAAAUAAUUUAAGUCAACUCACAAGAUACUAAUUUUUCACCCAUGUUAUUAAGUGAGUGAACACAAUUACAGUGUAUACCCACUGUUUUUCAUCAGCACCCAUAUUUUUUCUCUCAUAUGCACUUAAACAUUGAAUUUGAUUUUUCCUUCUUUUAAUAUCCUCAAAACACACUCACAUUUUUCCCAAAUUGCCAUUAUCUCAAUCUCCAGCCCACCCAACUUACACCGCUUUCUACCUCUCAGUUGCCUCUUGCCUUUCCACACCACGGCUCGAACCCUCUUGGACGAGUGGGUUGUGGGCGAUUUUGGGGUUGGUAUUGUUGGGGGUUGUAGUUUCGACAUGAAUUUGCGUACGUGCUGGGAGGUGGGUGGGUCUACAGUGCGUUGGGUGGUGAGAAGAGGGGGUAAAAUAGUCAUUUAAAAAAUAAAAUUACAAGGUAAAGUUCACUAACUCUCCUGAGGUUUGACAAAAUUUCAUGAACCUUCCCUUAUAGUUUGUAAAGAUUACAAAAUUUUUUUCUUCCUUGCUAAAAUGAGGUAAAAUGGGCCUUAAUAUAUAAAAGGUAAAGUUCACUAACCUCCCCAUGAAAUAUUGAUCAAAUUACACAAACCUCCCUAUAGUUUAUAAAAUUACAUAGAUAUUCUCUCUUUUUAAACUAAUAUAUAUUUAUAUUUACGAACUAAUAUUCACUUUUACUUUUGGACGAUUGGAUCAUCGUGAGAGUAUUUUGUGAGAGUAUUUUGUGUCCAUAUUUCAAAUAGAAAUAAAAAGAGGGGAUAUUAAUGGUCCAAACUAGAGGUGUCAAGUGGGCCUUGCCGACACGGCACGGCACGGGCAUGGCACGAAAAAACUCGGCACGAGUACGGUUUCGGCAUGGUAUAAGUUGGGCACGACACGGCACGACAUGGCACGGUCUGAGCGGGCACGGGGCACGGAAAUGGUGGAGCACGGCACAUUGUGGCUUCUUCUUAACAUGGCACGCACGAUCAAAGCCGUCACGGCACGCUCCCCGGGGCACCGACACGAUAGUUGGCUUGAGUUGCCACGGAACGGCACGACACGACACAGACUUAGUCAAGCAUGGCCAGGGCACAUGACACGGGAAUGGUGUCAAGGGCCCGGUAUACGACCUGGAACAAGUGCAAGAAAUGAUUUAAUUUUAAAAAAUUAAAUUAAAAUUUAAUUUUAAAUAAUUAAUUUUCUAUAAUAAAAAAAUUAUAAAAAAAUAAGAAAGUUAAACUAAAUAAUUUUGACUUGUUAAUGGCUAUGGCCCUUAAAUUAAAUAAAUAAUUAAAAAUAUUUUUUUAUUAAAUAAAUAACUUUUUAAAUCCAUAAUAAGAAAAAAAAAAUAUAAAAAAUUUAAAAUAAAAUUAUGAAUAAUAAAAAUAAAAAAUUUAAAACAAAAUUAAAAAAUAAAUUUUGAAAAACAAAAAGUAUAAAUUUUAAAAUUUUGAUUUUGGUCAAAAAUAAGUUUUUCAUAAUUAUGACAAUUCACCAACGUCAUUUUGUGUAUAUUGAAUUUUAAUCACUUCUCGCAGAAUUGAAGUUCUAUUGGAUAUUGAAAACUCUUUCAUCGGGACAAGAAUUAAUUUAUCAAUUAUAACCGAUUAAUUUGUCUCAUUCGAUCAAGUAUGGCCGAUAAUUAAAUUAUUUUAUUUUUUGCAAAAGAUAUAAUCACUUCUACUAUUAAAUCUAACAGUUCCGAUUCAAAACAAAAUAUGGUGAUGGCAAUCAAGUCAUGCAUUAUAUGGACAAUUGCUCAUAAAUAAAAAAAUGCCACCGAAGUGAUCUGAUCAGUGCGUGGUUGAGACAUUGAUCGCCACCGUUUUGAAAAAAUUAUUAUAGAUUGAUAAGAUAUGAAUCGUAACGGUUUAAAGUCAAACAUUCAGAAAAUCGAAGUUGGGACGUGUCCUUGCAUCCUAUAUAUCAAAAUUUACUUGGUUCUGAACCAACUUAUUGUGCUUAUAGGAUAAUGUACUAUAGCCAAACGAUCGCAACACAAUUAUGACGAUCCAAAACGUUACUUACCUUUUUUAUCUUGAUGAUUGAAUCCCUCUCGACAAAUUUAAAAGUCUAUCGGGUAGUGACAGCCCUUCUUUUAUUGAUGAAAAGUAGAUUCACUAAAAAUUAACAAAUAAUAUCGAUACACUUCACUAUCACUUUAUCACUUCACUGAUUUUUAGCUUCAAAGCAACACAAAAAUAGGAGACCUAAAUCCCUUUCAUUGAUUUUUGCGCAACGGCUACUAUCCAUAAAGCCUGUAGCCCUGCCUACAUUCCCAAAUUAUAUUUCCAUAAAAAAACCUUUUUGGUGGUAAAUAUUUAUAAAUUUGGGCGUUCUUAUGUGUUUGUCUUUGAGCACAAAACUACUGUAAGUUGUGCUUUAAUUAAAAAAAUACACGACACAAUUAAAUACGGGCAGGGCAAAACACGAUUAGUAGACGGGCAUGAACGCACGAGUCACACGACUAAGUUUACGGCCACACGGCAUGGCACGAUUAAGUAAGCGGGCCGACACAGCAUGGCACAUUAGUAAUCGGAUUAAGCACGGCAUGACACGAUUAAGUAGACGGACACGCACGCACGACACGCCGGCACGAGUCACACGACUAAGUUAGCGAGCCGGCACAGCACGGCACGAUUAAGUAAGCGGGCCGGUAUGGCACAGCAUGAAUAAAGAAAAAUAGCAUGACACGAUACGAUUAAAAAAGGCACGGCACGAUUAAAAAAGACACGACACGGCACGAUUAAGUAAAUGGACCCGGCCCGGCACAACACAAAGCACAACUGGCACAGAAGAAAAGUGGCAGGCACGACACGAUGGGCACGUUUGACACUUCUAGUCCAAACUAAAAGUGAAUAUUAGUUUCAAAAAAAUAGAAUGCCUGUGUAAUUUUACAAAUUACAUGGUAGAUCCAUACAAUUUGAUCAAAUCGCAAAGGAGGUAUGAUCACCACCGUCUGUAGAUGUGAGACAUAAAUUUGAGACAUAAAUUUUAUUAGAGACUUGUAUUUCUCGCUCUAAAAGUUUGCUUUGGCUGAAUUUUUUAUUUUUUUAAUUGUUAACCGAGGUUAAGUGCUGGAGUGCAAUAAUGAGAGUUGGGACAGGUGGCAAAAUCUUAAAUAAGGUACAGAAACAAGGUACAAGGUGUCGGUACAGAAGAUCCGAGCCCAGUUGGAACACGCUCACCCAGUCUUUACUCGCACCGCAACGUCUCUCACUCCUCUAGUCCUUCUGUAUGCGUCGAGAAGAUCUCUCGGUCCCCUUUUAGGAAUUCGAAAUUCCAUACUCCACCACCUUCUCUCUCUCUCUCUCUCAUCACCACCGCAAAACCCAUUUUCGCAGCCGAACCUUCUCCGAAUCUUUAAUUGAGCUCAUAGCUUAACCCUUAGAUUCACUUUCCUUUCUCAUUCUUCUAGGGUUUUUUCCCCAUCAUCACAAAAAAUCACCAUGGCAAUUCGUUUCACAGUGACAUACUCGGGCUAUAUAGCCAUGAACCUGGCCUCGUCGGCCUCCAUCAAAGUCGGAAACUCCCGCCUCUUCCAUGAAUGCGCGAUCUGGUCACUCCUUUUCCACCCCAACCCCAAGCCCGACCUCGAUCGCC